GACUCUAUUCAUUAUAUGCUCGUUCCGCACCGUCACGUUGCAGAAUAUAAUUUGCCCAUAAAGAAGGAUUACAGCUAGAAAUUCCCGGCUUUCCCAAUAUUUAACCUUCAGAUGCGAGAUUCUUCUUUCAGCAAACUAGGGAACGGAGAGCCAUCCUUUUGUUGUGCUCUACCACUGUAGUGGAACUGGAUUCUUUUCCCUUUCAUUCAUGCAAUCAGAGGUUGUGGGGUCCCGAAUACUAAGACCAGUCCAGAUGCACAUAAAGGGCUCCUUCCUUGGAAAGCACGUUGGCUGCUCGACCACAUGAAGUCCUUACCUAAGUCCGGGCUCUUAAAUAAUCGAUACCUGAAGACUGAAGUCUGGCCUGGAGACUUGGAAAGCACUUGUGCUGCUCCACCACAUGAUCUUCUUAGCCCAAUCCAGAUAUAUGUUCCGAACUUGGGUCACAUGUAAUGCCCUAGGUCAGUGGUUUGUGAGCUUGAAUUGUAUGGGCAAUCUGGUUUCAGCUAGAGCUGAGCUUAAGACUAGUAUGUUCCGUAGAGCACAAGCUAGGCUGAUGGUGAGCCUGACAUCACCCUUGCAAAAGCCGGACAUCUCUACACCCUACUAGUAUGGUUGCUUUGGAAGUUCAGCCUGGUGUACAUGGGUAAGGAUGUGGCACUGGAGAUCGCCUAAUUGCAACCAAGUUCUGCUCAAAUAUUUGCAUUGGAACCCACCUCAUUCAUGUAUAUAUACAAGCUGUAUUUGAUUAAACUUGGAGACCUGCAGCUCUCUGAAUUCUAGUCCAUGUGGAUAUGAAGCAAUCUGGCCAGCUUGCACUCAAUGCCGCUCAUCAUCAUCAUCAUCUUCUUCUUCUUAUAAGUUACUAGACAAAUCUGGAGACAUUUCACAAAGCCUAAGCUCCCUAGUUGAGCAACUGGUAAAAGAUAGGACCAUUGACUCCAUAUACUGCUAAGAAUCACAUGUGAGGUUUAGUCUCAUAUGGAAUAAUUAGUAGGAGGUGGAUGGAUUAAUAGAUGAUUGGGUACAAAAUUUAAUGGCUUAAUUUUUUAAAAUUGAAUGAAGUUUCAACAUAUAUAUUAAGUUAUUUUGGUAUUAAUACUCCAUCUCUCUAAUAUAUAUAACAUGGCUCAUUGGUAUUGGUGACCUGCUAUCAUAUAUAUAUACAUUACAUAUAGGUGGUGUUUUGUAACCCAAAUGGAAUCACCAAGGUGAUCUCAGAUCAUUAGUGAUCUUUAUCUCAGGAUAAUUUGAUCCCCAAUGAUCUAAGAUCAACAAGUUUGGUAUGCUAUAUUUUGGUGAUUAAAAAUUCUUAAGAAUUUACGGAUAACCUAUUUAGUAUUUCAUGAAAAUUCAAAAUCACUUACCAUAUAAUACCAAAACUAUCAAUAUAUUCCAUAAAAAUAUAUUUAGUAAUUAUAUAAAUAUAUUAUAAUAAAAAAUUAAUAUAUUUAUUAAUAUAUUAAUUAUUAAUAUAAUAUAUUUAUUAGUCCUAUAAAUUAUUAAUCCUAUAAAGAUAUAUUAAUUGUUAUUAUAGAAUUAAUAUUUUUAUUUGUCCUUAUAAUAUAUUAUUUUGAACCAAUAUUUGUUUUGAUUGGGAAAAGAAGGCAAAUAGAAGUAACAUAUUAAAUAAUUUUAUUAUAUAAAUAUAAAGUAUAAUAAUAUAUUUCUACUAUAAUUUAAAAUUAUCAUUGAAUAGUAAUAUGACAAUAAUAUGAUUAAUAAUAUAUAUCAUAAAUACAAUAUAUAUAAUAUUAAUAUAACAUAAUGCCAUAUAUAUACUAAUAUAAUAUAUUAAUAGUAUAUUGACAUGUCUAUUUUUUUCUGGAUUGAAGGAUAUUUUUGUCGUCAAAUUUCAGCCCAAGAUCACUAUAGUGAUCUUGGAUUUCCGACCUCAAAAGGCUAGGUAUCCUAUUACUGGGUUGAGUAGUGAUUUAAGAAGUAGAGGCGAUUUAGGAUCAUUGCCAUGUAAGAUCAUCAUGGUGCAACCAAAUAUGGUGAUAUCAUUACCUCCACCUACAUCACCUUUGAUCUUGGGAUGAUUACCCUCUUACCAAAUGCCCCUAUACUGUAAAUGUGUGUGUGUGUGUGUGUGUAUAUAUAUAAUGCAUGUUUCUAUGUGAAAAAUGUAUGACCUUUGGAAUCUAUAGAAGAAUUGCCUUACACCUUAGAUCUUGGCUGGAAGAAUAAAAUAGAUGAACACAAGCACUUUACAACUUUCCAUUAAAAUAUAAUGGGCCCCUGCCUUACAAGCCUUACAAGCCUGGAACGUAUGGGUAAAUUAAUUAGAUUUUAUCCUAUUUCCCACCGCGGCAUUAGGCAGCAUUGUAUUUAAGUACUCCCAAUCUUCGCAAAUGGUAUUGCCCAAUCAUAGUAGCCUGCUGAGUUUAGUCAUUAUAAUGGAUAAACUAUAUUUGCAAAAUCUUGCCUUCUACUAGAUAAUUUUGAAAAACAACAUAGAGCAGUAACAAAAAUAAUGGUUUCAUUUAAUUAAAUUUCUUUUCGCAUGUUAUAAUAUCACUUGUUAUUGUCGCCGUGGACAUCAUCGUCAUAGUGGUGGGUUUACAGAUUAGUUCAAGAAGAUUGAGUUUUAUUCUUUUUAAUAUGCCAUUCUAAUGAAUAAGAAAGUUGGAAAUUAAGGCUCGAAUAAAUUUCUGUCAUUAGGCACUUAUGAUUAUUAGAUUUAGUUGGUAUGAUUGUGGCCAUCCAAACCCUUCCCAUAUAACAUCUUUUCUUGAAGAUGUAACAAACAAUAUAUUGCUUAAUAAUAUCCUCAAAUUUGUCUAGCCAUAAGCCUAACAAACAAUAGCUACAACAAUAUUCCAACCUUUCCUAAUUCUUCUAGAAAUAGGAGUCCUUCAAAGGAUCAAUAUCGAAGCGAGAACUAGAGAGGGGGCAAAAUUUCAAAGCCCAAAAAAUGGCUCCUUAUCUAGUUAUAAAAAAUAUUUAAAAAAAUGAUCACCGCUCGAGCUUGGGUGUAAAAAAAUAUUAAAUUUUAUAUAAGCCCAAUCAAAAAUUUGAUUAAAAAUAAAUAGAGUUUAGGCCCAAGGCCCAAUUUAUGAUCAACCCUAUUAGAAAAAGAAGCGAGCCAUAAAAUGAUGGUCUGUAGUCGCCAUCGGCAAACUGCACAAGGGACAAGAAGUCACCAUUAUUAAUUUCAUUUCGUUCUCUCAAUGAAAUGAACCUUGUGGGAUUUAAUCAUUUAAUUAAUUUUUUGUUGUUCUCGAGAAUAAUGGUGACGAAGGUCACCAUCAUGCAUGCCAUGACAAACAUGAAAUGAUGAGUACUAAGUUCUAAUGCAAAGGUAGGCCAGAACUAAAAAAAAAGUUCUCAUGCGUUUUAUUAGACUAGGCACAACAACCAUAGAUUAAAAAUUUAUCAAUUCAAACUUGAUUUAUUUAUUAAAUAAUCAAAAAUUCAAAAUUCGUAUAUGAUGUUUUUAUUAAAUAGGCAACACAAUCUGACCAACCAUAUAUUGAAUUAUUUAGAGGAGCUUCCUCUGUUUUAUUGGUGCAAUAAGGCAAGCAUGCGUGCUUUGCAUGACAUUCAUGCAGACCGUUUGAACUAUCUUUCUGUUGACUUUUGUUCGUUAUGUACUUGCAAUUUAAACCUCCACUUCCAUCUUUGUAAGAUUGUAUAAGAUUAGAUUACGUGGUGGAUUAAAGCAAGCUUGAAGUCAUGCUAGAAGAUUUUAUGGUAGAUUAGAGGAGCUUCCUUUAUUUUAUUGGAGCAAUAAGGCAAGCAGGCAUGCUUUGUGCGGCAUUCAUGCAGUCCGUUUGGACUAACUUUCUGCUGACUUUUGUUCACCAUUUUCACAUGCAAUCAGAUAUUUUCAUCUCUCCCUCCCUCUCUCUAAGAAUAAUCCAAAUUGUUAAAUAUGAUGUACCACCUUUAAACUGUUUACAAUAUAAAAUUUUAUGAUUUAAAAGCUCCUAAUCUAUAUAUCAAAUGAUCUAAAAUGAAUAAUUAAAAUAAUAUGAAAUGAUAUCCAUUUUUACGUACUUGGUGCAUAAGUUAGGAACCUCCAAAUUACAUAAUUUUUUAGAUUCAAAUAAUUUAAAGAUAAUAGAUCGUUUUAAAUCAUUCGGAACAUCAAUAUUGGAACCCCAUCUUCUGAUUUCAUCUGAAUCAACUCCCGAUCUACGUUAUUUAUAGAUAUAUAGCAUCAAGGAGUACCCAAGCAAUAUAAACCGACAUGCUGCCCAAAAUCUUAUCUUAGAGGAGAACUACAGCAUCUGCAAACUUGGUCAAGUUGUAUGUUUUUGAAGCUUUGGAUGUGUUUUUGAAAGUUGGCACAUCCGAUCUGCCAUUUUCUUUGAAAUAUUAGUGCAAAUCUAGCUUGUUGAACAACCUUCACAAACACUCCAAAGCAAGUAGGACUAGCCUACUUCAAAAGAGGACAUGAUUUUUCUAUUUGAUUCAUUCAAAUGCCGACAUGUCUCACAGGAGCUUCAUGUCAAGGCUGAUUAAAUUUUUUUUUUGAAUUAUAAAUAUAAAUAAUUGAUAUAAAUAUAUACUAAUUGUAAUGACUAUUAUAACUAAUUAAUAUAAAAAGGUAAUCAUAAUAUUUUACUAGUAUAUUAUAAAUAUAUUAAUAUAAAUAAUAUAUAUAUAAAUAUAUUAAUAUUUAUUUUAAUUAAUAUAUAUAAUAAAUAUAUUAGUUUUACUAUUUAUUAAUAUAUAUUAAUAUCAUAUUAAUACAAUUAAUGUAAUAAAUAUAUAAUAUAAUUAAUCCAAUAUGAAUACAAUAUAAGUGGAGCCAUUUUCAUCAAGUAAUGAUAAUUUUAGAAUCUUCACUAAUCUGGUGUAGGAAAAGAAUACUACAUCUUAAUGAUAUUUAUUUUACCUUCUCUUUCAAAAUAUUUAUUAUUUAUUUUACCAUCUAUUUAAUCCUUUUUUUAUACUAACUAUAGUUAGAGGUGUACAAGAAAUACUAGCUGAACCGCAAAGCCAACCUGAACCAGUCUCUUUGGUUCGGUUUAUAUCAUUUUUUUAAAAUUAGGUUUGGUUUCGAUUUGAGAAAGUCUUGAACUAAAAAAAUUCAGUUCGAUUUCGGUUUNNNNNNNNNNNNNNNNNNNNNNNNNNNNNNNNNNNNNNNNNNNNNNNNNNNNNNNNNNNNNNNNNNNNNNNNNNNNNNNNNNNNNNNNNNNNNNNNNNNNNNNNNNNNNNNNNNNNNNNNNNNNNNNNNNNNNNNNNNNNNNNNNNNNNNNNNNNNNNNNNNNNNNNNNNNNNNNNNNNNNNNNNNNNNNNNNNNNNNNNNNNNNNNNNNNNNNNNNNNNNNNNNNNNNNNNNNNNNNNNNNNNNNNNNNNNNNNNNNNNNNNNNNNNNNNNNNNNNNNNNNNNNNNNNNNNNNNNNNNNNNNNNNNNNNNNNNNNNNNNNNNNNNNNNNNNNNNNNNNNNNNNNNNNNNNNNNNNNNNNNNNNNNNNNNNNNNNNNNNNNNNNNNNNNNNNNNNNNNNNNNNNNNNNNNNNNNNNNNNNNNNNNNNNNNNNNNNNNNNNNNNNNNNNNNNNNNNNNNNNNNNNNNNNNNNNNNUUGUCCAAUAAAAAAAUAGAUAGUUUGAUAACCUACCAUAACAGAGAGUAGGUUAUCAAUCCCCAUAUAUGUGUAUAUAUAUAUAUAUAUGUAUGUAUGUAUAUAUGUGUGUAUAUAUAUGUAUGUAUGUAUGUAUAUAUGUAUAUAUGUAUAUAUAUAUGUGUGUGUGUGUGUAUAUAUGUAUAUGUAUGUAUAUGUAUAUAUAUAUUAAUUUUCUUUUUUUUUAUAUUUUUAAUUAUAAAAUAGAAUGUUAUAUUUAAACUUAGCUCAGGUAGUUUAGUUUAGCUUAGUCCAUUAAAUAUCAAUUCUAUAUAAAGUGGACGUUUUUAUGUUUAAACUUUGCAUAGUCUAUUGAAUAUCAACUCGGUAUACUGAACCAAAAUUUUCAAAUAGGUUUCAAAUAAUUUUUGUAGAUGGUUGGUUCGUUUUUUAUUUUAGUUUUAGAAAGCCAGUUUAAAUCAGUUAUUUUUGAAGUUUUGCUCCAAACUGAUCCAACCCAAUUUGUGCAUAUCCUUAAGUAUUAUAAUCUGAUAUGGAUUAUUGUUUUUAUGCCAGAUUAUCUCCAAUCAAACGAACUACUAGCAUUUUAACUAUUUUUGUAAUAUGUAAAAAAUAUAGAUAGCUAUUUCUAAAUGUUAUCCAAAAAAUAAUUAAUUAGAAAAGUACCCAGGACCAUGCUUGCUGAUACCUAGAAGGCCGGCCCUUUAUUCAGAAAGGACAAAAAUAUUUAAAAUAACAGAACCAAGAAAGGUCUUUAGUGUAAUGAUACAAGCCCCUUUUCAAGCAUGGUAGCCGUCACGAUAGUUGGACCAACUGUGCACCACCCAUGUUCGUCAAUUUUCGCAUGGUGUUAUUUCUCUCUACAAGAACGAUCCCAAGACUCCACAAAGCCAACCAGAGAUCCUAAGACGUUUGGGCUGGCCAUCCACUCAUAAACUCUUAGAGAUGAGGAAUCCGGGGACACCUUUCAAUUUCUUACUAUGUGCUCUCCUUUCCCUACUCAUCCUCCAAUCGAGUUUCUCGGCAUUUCACAUAGUUGGUAAGUGUUUCCUUGGGAAAAUGUUGAUUUACGAUAUCACUUAGCUAGUCAAUUGGUUGCAUAUAAUUUGAUCCCUGCAAUAUGAUGGCAAGUUUGUAGUAGUAAUAGCUCAGACCCAAAGCAAAUCUAGAUUGGACAAGUUUGUAGUAACUGUCACAACUUAGGACUGUUGGGAAUUGUAUUCUCAAUGUCAAUUGUCAGCAUGUUGAUGAUUGACUUUUGUAAAAUGAAUUGACAAAUUAAUAAAGUGUUAUUUGGUAUUAUUUUAUCAUACAUCUUUAAAUGAACUCUUAUAUGAUGAAGUCCUUAGAACUUAAUUUAUGAUAAAGGAGGAUUUAUCUGCAGGUCCUUAAACCUGUUCGCGACCAAAUAAUAUGCUGUUAAUAGGAUGACAGCAUUAUCGAGAUUAGGUCGUUGUGUGACAUAUACAUUGGUUGUUCUCUUAACCAAGAAGUGUGGAGAUACUGAUAUUUCACACAGGUGAAGUGUAGGAGUACAUUUCACUGAACGUGACCAAUUCCGGAAUGCUCUACUGUCAAGAAUUGUUCCGAGUGGAUAUGGGUAUAAGUAUCCCUCAGACUUGAGAUCACCACAGUGAUUAGCAAGCAACUCACUGUACUUUGACCCCUCCUGAAAAUAGGAGAUAAUGCUUUGUGUUCAAUUUAGCAAAACAUAGGCCAGGGUAAUCCUUGUGAUGAGUCACAGGAUUUUUAAAGUUGAUCACAUAGUGGAUGUACUGAUUAGAGAGUUGACAGAACUCUGAGGUAAUCCUAGCAUUAGGAGUCAAAGGGAUGAAUUAUACAGUAACCAUAGUCCAUGGUUCUAGAAUAUUUGCUUCGCAUAUAUUCGGCCUAUCCGGACGUCGGGUACCAUUGCUAGAUAGUCACAUCGAUUAGUGCAAGAAGCUGUUCCCGUACUACCGGCUUAGGUUCGAACCUGUGAGGUCAUACGUAUAGAAGUUUCCUGAUUGAUCAAGAUAGCUGAUAGAUGAUUGAGAAUCAUUCUGGGAUAAUUUGGUCAAUUCGAUUGGCAAAUUAUCCUAUAAAAUAAUUAAGGUAAUUAUUGGAGGAUUAAUUAGUAAUUGGAUUACUAAUAAACUCAAUUUGAUUGAGUAUUUGGACUAAGGAUUAGUCAAAUUAAAUUGGAUUCAAUUUUGAGUUCAAUCAGAAGUUUUUGACCUGAUUGGAGUCGACUCGAGAUGGGCUGGGGUCGACUCUCUCAGAAUCCACAGAAAACGUUUUCUGUUUUUCCAAGUGGAGUCGACUCGAGUUUCCUUGGAGUCGACUCGAGCUAUGAAGGGGUCGACACGCUGGGCGUAUCAGAGAUAUUAUUCUAUGUCGUCUCAGCCGGAGUCGACCCAAGAAGUUUUGGAGUCAACUCAAGGUGACUUGGAGUCGACUCGAAGAUCGGAAAGGUUGACUCCUUCCGAAAAAUCUGGAGUUCGCAAAUGUUCUGAACUUCCGGGAUUCGAUCCAGAAGUGGUUUUUCAAUGAAAUCUCGUGGGAUUUUGAUCGUGGAACAUGUGGAAGAAUGGGUAGAUGAUGAUGGAAGAUCAUCACCACACAUUUUGAUCCUAUCUUAUCCGCAUGAACCAUAUGUUGUUUGAAUUCAAAAUUCAAACAAGAUAAGAUCUAUAUUAUUGCAACCAUCCCCUUCAUACGCCAACAAGAUACCGUAUUUCACCCGAAUUUCGAAUUCAAAGAAUCAGAUGGCCUGACUAUAAAAGGAAGAGUUCCUUGUGUUGCCAAAAUCAUGAAAAAUUGUAGAAGGGAAAAACCAAAGGAAAAGAAAGAAAACAAAAAGAGUUUUCAGCCUUUCCAUUCCGACCACUCUGAAUCCUUUUUAAGUUCAUUUUGAAAUAGCUACCAUUCCUCCAAGUUCUUCCAAAAAGGCGGAUCAAAGGUUGAUCGCGAUCGGGAAGAUCAAUAUUCAUCCAUAAGGAAGAUUCUGCACAAGCUAGCACUUCUGUGGGAUUAGAUCAUUCCAGGAGCUUCGCGUGGAUCACUCGUAGAGGCUAAACAAGUGUGUGGCUACGAAGCUCUAGCAUCAAAUCCAAUACUUUCUGAUUUUAUAGAGGUAUAAAACUAAAUCCAAAGAUAUCUCUUAUAGGUUCCAAUCCCCGAGGGUUAAACCUCUUUUGGGGCUCUUCACAAAGUAAUCUUCAGAGCCUAUUCGAUGGGCAUUCGAAGAUCAGUUGGGUGAUUAGAUUAAUUAAGUUUAGAACUUAAUUUAUAAUCUCAUUUCAGAUCUGAAUUUAAUCAUGCAAUGAUUUUAGCAUAAUCGUUUAAACGAUCCUCGCAAAUUGAUCAUGAAUACUUGUAGUGGCAAAUUGAAAUUUGAUUUCUUAUGCAUGCUAGAAUUAAAAUAUUUAAUUCGGUUUUCCGCUACAUUUCAAAAUUAAAAGAACUACGUGUGGCUUGAUCCCCCUUGUGAAGGGUACAUAGGCAACCCAAAUAGAUACGGUCAUUGAUUUUGAAAAAAAUUUAAAAUUUCAGCAUGCUAUCACUGCUAGCAUCAUCGAUCCCUUUCAAGGACCUUACCCAAAAUAACUAGCCGGAAGGUAUUAUUUAGGUUUUUUGAUCCUGUAUAGUACUCAAGAUUUACCCAGCAAAUAACCGAUAUGGGAGUAAACAUACGCCCACACGGAUCCUCACAUGCUCCCCUCAUUUACAUCCUGACGUCCUCGUCAGGCUAAAGGUUCAAAUCUAUUCAAAUCUAAGCACAAUCACCAUGAUCGGCUCGUGAUCAGCCCCAAUGGAUUCAUGCUGCAGUGUCCCCUAGUCCACAUAGGUUAUGUGCUGGGUCUGCUCUGAUACUAUUAUGUCAUAACUCAGAACCUCACUCAAAAUGACUAGCCAGAAGGUAUUAUUUGGGUUCUUUGAUCCUGUAUAAGUACCGAAGAUCUACCAGCGUAUAAUCGAUGUGGGACUAAACAUACGCCCGCACGGGUCUUUAUAGUAAUAGCUUCAUUAAUAUAAUAAAGACUUAUAUGAUUGGUUGUCAUGUAAUCUCAUUAUUAUUAUUUUUUCAAAUUUUUAUAUUAAUUUCUUCUCUUUUUCUGUAAAGAUAAUUUUUCUCACAUUAUCUCUUCCUUGGAAUUUAAAAAUACAACUUUGAGAAAAGAGGAAUUCAUUAAUGCUAUUACCUGGGAACGAAAUGAUAGUAUAAUUGUCCAUGUAAAGAAAUUGGAGUAACACAUCACUGGGUUUGAGCUCCGAAUGUCAUCCAAAUCAAGUUCAAAUCUUCUACAAACCUGAUAGUAGGUAAUUCCUAUAUUCGAACACAACCCCGAACACUACAGAUAAGCAUGCAUGGUGUGCUCCGUUCCCUAUACACCCCAAAGACCACCAACAGAAAGAUAACAAAGUAGUCCUUUUUGCCAUGGUUAUAACAUAAUAUUUCAGUCUUUGUUAAAGAUGUCUACAGUUAUAUUCACUUAGCAUCAAAUUAUAGAUAAUCUUAUGCUAGACACCUUAAAUGUAGGGAACUCAUUAAUUUUGUCUUCUGUGUGGCAGGAGCCGAGGAGUAUUUUGACUAUGAUGAAGAUAGUGCAUUUGGGCCUCAACACUGGGGAGAUCUGGAUCCGGAUUGGGCAACCUGCCAAGAUGGGAAAAAGCAAUCACCAAUAAAUAUAAAUCAUGAGAUUAUUGAAGUGGAUUCGAGUAUUGGAAGCUUGAUGACAAGUUACAACAGCACUUUUGCAAUUAUGCAAAAUACGGGCCAUUACAUAUUGGUAAGAAGUAGAACAUGAACAAGAAGGGGAAAUAAAAGAACCAGUAAUCUCAUCUUUUUAUUUUCUGUUGCUAAAUAGAAGGGCUAAAGUCCCUCUAAACAUAUUCGUUAAAUCAAUGAAAAGAUAUUACUAUGUUUUACAUUGUUUUUAGGUUUUAUUUUACUCUUUUUUUUAUGAUUUUUUAUAAAAAUUUUGUUCAUAUAAUUUCUUUUUUAUUUUUCUUAUGUGAAUGUAGAUUAACUGGACAGAAGGCGCAACACCUGGUGCAGGAUCUCUUUUGAUUGAUGGCAAGGACUAUGUUCUUCAACAAUGUCAUUGGCACUCACCCUCUGAGCAUAUAUUUUUUUGGUGAGAGGUACCUUUCUAUAACUCCAUCUCCACCCUUUUUUUUGGUAACAUAAAUUUGUUAUAGGGAGGGUGACAUUGUGUGGCCUCGAAAUUGGAUUUAUACAUUUCAAAAAUGCUUUAGUAACUCAAAAAUGUCAUUAAACAAGCCGCUUGGUGCGAUGUAUUCUAAUUGCUCCCUUUGAAUUGCUAUCAUCAACUGUGCCAUUAAAUGAAGCAAGGUGAUUCAGUGAUUGGUAUAAAGCACCUGAAUGACUAUUCUGAGUUACUUUAGCAUCACUCCAUAUGCAUUUUAUAUGUUAAUUAUUUGCUAUCUGAUGUUUUAUUAUUCUUGACCCCAAAAUUGGGCCCGGCCCACCCAUUCGACCUGACACACUGUGUCACUAUGCCUAAGUCCAGCGGAUGGGUCCAACAGGAUGGGCCAAAUUUGCCCAGGUCUAGCCGGCCCACAUUCUACAUGCCUGGAGUAAGCUUUGAGCAAAUAGAAGUUGAAGAACUCUUCAGAACAUGAGUCAAGAAAAAACUUCUAUAAUUAUAUGGCAUCCUAUGAAAAAUAAACCCUUUUCUAGAAUAAGAUAUAUGUUAGCAUGUCGCUUAACUCAAAAUGUGUUUUACAGUUUUCAAGUAACAACACAUCUUGGAGGUGUAAAAACCAAUGAUUUUAGUUAAUGUUACUUUAUUUGAUUUAAUGUAAUAACUCAAGGCCUCAUCUUAAAACUCUUGAGAUGUGCUUUGCCCUUUUCAAGUUACAACAUGCCUUAGAGGCUUAAGACUAUGGAUUUCAAUUAACAAUGCUUUUUUUGAUUUAGUAUAACAUUAAUCCGGGAUCUCAUCUAAAAAGGACUAGCUAAAAGGUAGUCAAGAUCUCUCAAACAAUACUCUCUCCAUUUGGUCCAAAUCUAAUCAAUUCAAUUUAUAAACACCAGACCAUGAUAGCCCUAUUGUCAUCUCAAAAAGGGCCCAUAUUAUAAUAUCCCCUAGUCCAUAUAGACAGUGGGCUAGGUUAGCUUUGAUGGCCUCACCUAAAAACGAUUAGCCAAAAUGCAUUAUUUGGUUUCCUGGUUUUGUAUUAGUAUCUAAUAUCUUCCUAGCACACAAGUAAUAUAGAUUGAAUACAAUACUCAUAUAGGUAGGAUUUGAGUUCCUUCUUUGUAUAAGUAUUCAAGAUCUUUUCAACAUAUAACUAAUGUAGAAUGAAAUACAUGCUCGCGUGGAACCUCAAUCAAAGAACCGAAAUAAUACCAUUUGUCUAACCUUUUUCGGAUAAGGUUCGGAGUUGUUAUAAUUUGUAUCAGAGUGGACCAGUCAUACAAUCUAUGUAUGAUUGUGGUAAAGAUGUCUGCGCUUAAACAGGGGAGAACCUGUGUGGACAUGUAUUUACUUGUAUAAUAGUUACGAGCUCUAAAGAUUUUGAUAUUCAUUUAGAGCCAAGGAACUCAAAUAAUAUAUUUCAGAUAGCUUUGUCAGGAUAAGAUCCGUUGUUAUUAAAAUUUUAUAUUUUAUAUUUGUAAAACUCAGCUUCAAAGAGUGAAAAAAUAUGAAACAUGGAUGCGCAGAUGCUUGGACACACAUUAAUACUUUGCUCAUAUUUUAAUGGAAAAUGCUGCAUUAUUCUCUUCCUUCCCUCUGUAGACCAUCCUAGAGAAACUGGUUCCAAGAGAUCAUCCCAACAGAUUUCAAGAUAUUAUCCCUCUCAUAGCACAUCUCACGUAUUUUGGAAGUCAAUUUCCAGCCUCUUACCUUUCGGUGUUUGUAACCUAAGCCAUAAAUAUGUACUUGUAGGUAUCCUCUGGAGUUGCAUAUGGUCCACAUGAAUUCAGAUGGAAGCAUAGCUGUCAUUGGCAUCUUGUACCAACAUGGCUCUCCUGAUCCGUUCCUUUCAAAGGUUUGACAUCAAAAGAACGUACCUUCUUUUACCUUUUCCUCUUCACUCCAACUUAAGCAGGCUAAUCUUUAUUGGCUCAGCUGCGGAACUACUUGGAGUAUCUGAUACGGGAGCAAAAAGAUGAGGUUGUCGUGGGAUAUUUACCUCCACCACCAAUAGAGAAUCGAGCUCCUUAUUAUAGAUACUCUGGCUCUCUAACCACUCCACCCUGCACUGAAAAUGUUACUUGGAUCCUACUACGAGAGGUUUGCAUCAUCUUUAACUUACCUAUUAUGCUUGCCUCCUUUGCUAAGCUCUGCCUCUUUAUCAAUCAAUUCAUUGUGGUUUUAGGUGAGGCCCGUAUCAGAAGGACAAGUAGACCUGCUAAGGGCUGCUUUACAUUAUGUAAGUUGGCUGAUUGAGAAUUAUCAUAUUCAAUGCAAUGCAAUUACAUUAGAUUACUUAAAUAUCUUUGUAGCUUGCUGAUGGCCGACGAAAUGGUCUAUUUUGUGUUCAAUUACCUUUCUGCAGAAGGACAAUGCAAGACCAAUUCAACCAAUCAACGGACGCAAGGUCUACUUGUACAAACCAUGGAUACACGAAGAUCAUGCGAGUCCUAUUGCUACAUAAUUACUUUGAUGGGAAAAUCUUAUUCCAAACAGCAAAUAAAAUAACCAAGAGUUUAGCAUACUUUGUUGCUCUGCUUUUAAAAUCUGAAAUAAGGUGUUGUGGCCCUACGUUGAAGGCCAGCCGCUUAAAUAAACAUUUCAGUCCAUGGUACAUAGUGAUCGUAAUGCAAUGUAUUCUCUUUUCUUGUAUCAGCUAUUUCUUUCUUGUGCACUAGUUUGUAACCUUGGAUACCAUCAGAACGAUCGUUAUUUGCUGUAUGAUAAAUGAUUUGCUAUUUGGUGAAGAAUGACUUGCACAAACGAUGUCAACAUAUUUUACUAGUUAUAAUGCACAUGUCUAUGUACGUGUGUAUCAAAUAAAAUAUCAUAAUAAUUUCGUGUAUAAAUUAUUAUGUUGAAAAUCCAUUUAUUGCUAAUGGCACAUACAAAGACAGAAAACCUAAUUUGAUGCGGACUUGAAAAAUAGUACUUGAGAUAGAAAGGCUAGGAGGAAUGAUAAAAUUAUAUAUAGCCUCGACUUAUAUCUAGUCUGACCUGAUCCGAUUGCCACCUCUAGGACUCAAUUGCUACCAAGUCAAUAGCACCCAUCUCCUUCUGCAACAUCAAUAAAAGAAAUUAUGUGAUUUGUGGGCGCCCUAUUGUAUUGCUCUUUAGAUUAACGAAACCUAUACAUGCUGGCCGAUUAAGCCUAGAAAAUAUUACAGAUAAAAAUGUUCCAAUUAGAGAUCUUCUGAAAAAAAGUAGUGAGGUUAUAAAUCAUAAUCUGGAGGAUGAAAUAAUCAUAACCGAUCAUGAUCUGGCUGACAAAAACUAGAUCGGAUCAGAUACCUUGCCAAAGGCAAUGAUGAUCCUGGAGGAGUCUAUUUAAAUUAGAGGUAAGAUGGACACAGGUUUGUGACUUUCUUUGCAUGUGCCUACCACUAUCAUAGAGCAAAUACCGAUUCCUGUUAUCACUUGCAAUGCAAAUGCUGAAUCUAUUCAUCACGUGUUUGUCACCUGCCCAUUCUCAAUGGAAGUUUGGAAUGCUGUCAGCUUUUGCCUGAAUGCAUCGGUUCCUCCACCCAGGCUGGACUUCUCAUAUCAAAACCGGACUUCACAGUCCUUUCCGGAGGACCAACAGCAAAUCAUCCUCAUGUUCAUCUCCUCUUUUUCAUGGGCCUCGUGGAAAGAAAGAAAUUCUAGGAUUUUCUCGAGGAAAUCUUCUAUACCUGUUUCAGUUGCUCAGAAUGGUCUCAACAUGCUCAAAGAUUGGUCCGUCCUUUAUCAGAGCAAACACCUCAAAGUUUGGACAAAAAUCAAGAACAUCAGCACUAUCUUAAAGGAUUCAUGGUUCCAUAUACAGCUUACUACUUGAAAAAUCCAUCCCUAGCUGUUUGAAGUGGCUGAUCCUCUUUGUUUUUCCUGCAGAGCCUUGAGUUUUCACAACAAGAGAGUGUUCAUCACCUCUCUGGUCUUUCACUACUCUAUCCCUUGGAUGGACCUCUCUUCUCCAUGAGCCUGCUGCUACUUAUUUCUUUUGUUGAUUGUGAGACAACAUUGUUAAAGAAUCACUUUGCCCUAUUCUCUUAUAUAUAGUGCUACGUAAAUAACUUCUUUCAGUAAAAAAUUUGGAUGGCUCUUUUUUAGCCUCCCUUAUCAUCAAAAAAAAAGAAAAAGUUAAAACUUGUUGCAAUCUCAAUUUUACCAUAUUCGCUGAGAAUUUAAUAUCUUGGUGCCUAUAUGUCAACUGAAAUCUUGGAAACUCUUAGUUCUUCCUAAAAUUUCUGCACCUUCUAUUGCUGUUGAGAUAAACACAGAUCUAUGUACAUGACAAUUGAUACGUAUUAAAUUUCUGAUAUCAGCUUGAUAUUACCAUGACCUUCAAUCCCAUUUAAGAAUACAUCCUUGAACUUUGGCUAACUCUUUGGGAAAGAGUUUUAAUGAAAAUGAUGGAAAAAAUAUUGGACACCUCGACCUCAGGCUAUACUGACCUCGACAACCUCGGCCUCGACCGAAGAGAGCAACUUCGGUCCCGAUUGAGGAGCUAACCGAUCAAAGUGAGCAACUUCGUCUCUGACUGAGGAGUCCAUUCAACACGUGCCAUCAGGGACUGACAGUCCUAACAACCGAUGGCCUUGGCAGCCCGUAGUCAUGACAGCACUAUAGUCUGCACCCAACUAGCACUAAGAAUAACUGGAAUUGAACGAGCAAACGGAGGCUGAAAGCAUGCCGUCCACACGGACUAGCUUUCACGCUGCGGCUGUACCAUCGGCCAUUGCCUGGCCGUCUUUGUUCUUCACAUCAGUCCAGAUAACGAAAAAAUACUCUCUUAUAUAAAGGGGCAACUCGAGAGAUCUCAGGAAUGAGGUAGAAAGCCUCUUUUUUAAUGACUCUGUCAAAGUAACAAGACCAUUAUUUCUGACUUUUUGAAGGGGUCCGACCUAAAUCGACUAUCACCCUCGCUUUCCUCAUCUUUGCUUAUGGUGCCGUCUUUUGAAUUAGAAGAAAUGCCAUGCGUUUGAUAACAUAUUACUAUGGAAGUCGAAGAGGGGCAGCUCCUCUUAGACUUCUCAACAGGUAGUCACCCUCAGAAAAGAAAAGGGAAAACAUGCCAAUUUAACAUUUGUGACAUCAAUUGGGGCCUUUGGAUCUAUGAUUUCAAUGAUUUAUAUGUAAGACUAUCAAAAGUUGUGAUGUCUUUCAAAUUUUUGAGUAUAAAAUAACCUCCUAAAUAUUGGAAUUUGCAUGAAUUCCUUUCCAAAAUUGAUAUUUGCAUGUAUACUAUUAUAUAAUACUUGUUUUGCAUGUAUAUCCUUCUGAUCCUUUUCUUUUUUGUAUUUGCACCCACAUCAUCUAAUGCCAUUAAAAAAUUUGUAGUUUAAAAUUGAAAUGACUGAAGUACCUUUAAUGGAUAAAUAUGAAGAAAAAAAUAUUUAUAAGGGUGUAUAUACAAAUAAAAAUUUUAUGAGGGUGUUCAUACAAUUUCACAUAUUUAGGAGGGUAUACACGCCAUAAAAUUCUUAGAUUUUUUUACAUGAAUAUCCUCCUAAAUAUUAAAAUUUGCAUGAAUACCUUCCCAAAAUUAAUAUUAGCAUGGACACUUUGACAUAACAGUUUAGUUGAUAUAAUUAGACAAAAUCAUAUCUAUCUAAAUUAUAAAUUAAUUAAAUUAUGAAAUUACCGCAAAAGUAGGUAACAGGUUAAUGGGUCUUGUUGAGAACUUACCAAUUCCAUUGAACUUCCUAUCUUUGCACGCGAUCGCUCUCUUCCGCUUAAGAUCGCCCUAAUCCCUCUACCUUCUUUGUAAAAUUUUGCAAUCUCUUUCGAUCCCUCUCUUUCACUCUUCCAUCUAGAAUCAAAACCUUUUUCUUGACUCCCUUUACCAUCAACAACCCUUCUCUAUUGACCCCUCUUUUUUUUCUUUUAGUGUGUGAGAUUUGUAAUAUUUAUCUUUUAGAACCAAAAAACUUCUUGUGUGCAAGUAGGUGGCUGAUUUAAAAUUAUUGUAAUAAAAUGAGUCUCAUAGGUCUUUUUCUUCUUUCUGAAAAUCGAAGCUCCAAACAAAAAUAGCUUAAGCAUAAGGGGUGGCCUUUUAUCAUAUGAGUGCAGAGGUUGUUAGUUUGAAGGAUUUUGAAGUCCUUCAAUGGCUUUGCUCGGGGACGAUUAAUAUUUUUCUUCAACCCAUAAGGACAGCAGUAGUAAGAAAGCUUGAUUAUUGCAAUCUAUUGUGUGCCUUUAAGAGAUUCUAAUCUAUUUCUAUAUUCUGAUUUAUACCAUCACAGAUGCAUCUAUAACAAUAAAUAUUACAAGUUGAUUUUCGAUUAAAUGAGACAUAAUGGUUAUUGUAAAUGAUUUAUGGUAUAAAAUACAAUCAUUCGGACAACUGUGUAUGUUCUCGUGUCCAAGAUCCAAUUCGUUUACUAGUUUCUUGGCUUUAUAAGAAGAUGACGGCAAAGUAACACCUUCCGAAAAUGCAUUCUUUAAUAAUUGAAGUGGCAUAGUGAAAGACUUGCUAGACCACCCAUUCAAAUAUUUUAAAUAAAAUAAAUGCAUAAAAAAAGAAAUCUUCAACAAAUUCUUUCCAUGCGGAUAUAGUUUUUGAUCUCAAUCUUUCAUCAAGUUAUGAUACCGAGUUAUGUCAUCAUUAGAUGAAUGUAUAGAUUCCUCAGCAUGCAUACAAUUAGUAAAUGUACACUCAUCACCUAUUGUACCUGCUUCUUGUUCUCCACUGAAAUCUACUAUAUUUUCUAUACCAUGUCCAAGAGCAUAUCUGAGUAAGGCCCUUAUAUCAUCUUCUCCUACAGAAUUUCUUUCCAUGUUACUGGAUCCAAAACUAGAGGUGUUUCUAUAUAGGAGGCUUGGUUACAUGGAGAUGGCAAUAUGGACUCUCCAUGAAAAAUCCAUUCAAUAUAACCCUUUAGAAAACUAUUUCACACCAAAUGUUCUUCAACAGUUUUUGGAGCGAAAGAAGAACAAUUUAUACAUUUUCAACAUGGACAUAAAAUCUUUUCGUUCAUAUUAGAUUUCUCAAAAGCAAAUUUAAUAAAAUUCUGAACUCCAUUCGAAUAUUCUUUGCUGGAUCUCAACUUAUUUAUCCAACUUUGGUCCAUUUUAUUAGAAUACUGAUUGUAUUGCAACUUAUUUACAAAAGAUAAACGAAAUUAAAUAUUUAAUAUUACAUUCCAAAUGAACAACUGGUCUUCUAAGAUAUGAAGGCAGCAAAAGCAUUACCAGAUCCUACAAUACAUGACCUAGACUUGUUUAGUGGUGGAUCCAUGGUGAGAUUGCUCAAGGUAGAAGGUGGACUCAACAUCUCAAAAAAGUUUCACCCUUAGCUAAGCCUACUUGGGAAUCAUGCUGAGAAUACUUCAGAGAUAAUCAAGUUUAUUCCUCUUCAAUAAUAUAUCUAAGAAAGGUCUCUUCUCUAGAUUAUCUUAUUACUCUUCUUAAACAACAUAUUCAUUCAAUUUUGGCAAACAAAAUUAUUAAUCAGGUUUUCUAGCUAUUUUUUUAGAGGGGAAUACGAGCAAUCUAGACAAUUUUCUAUUUUUUUCCAAGAAAUCUCUCCUCAGCGUAUGCGUUGAGGAGAAUGGUGCAAGCCGGCCGAACCAUAUUGCAUCGCACGUAUAAGACCCGAGCAAUGGACUAAUGCGGCAAUCUCAAAUUAAAUGGCUGCUAGUCUCUUUUCAUAAGAUCAGGAUUGUGUUGAGGGCAAGAUUUGUGAAUGAGAAGACCGGAAUACUUUUAAAAAUCUGAAUUGGUGAGCACAUCAAAUCCAGCAAAUGCAUGUGCAACCCAGCAAGAUUCAUCAAGCACACCAAGUGUUAGAUAUCUAGGGGAAGCAGCAACCAUUGUUAAAAUCCAUGCACGAUUUAAGUAAAACUAAAUAUUUGAUCAGUAUUAAAAGCAACAGUCGUUAUUAAAUCAAGUUCCGUGGGGAUGCGAUUAGCAAAAAUUCAACUUUGGUAAACAAAAAUUAUUAAUCCAGAAUUAGAGAGGAAAAUCAUGCAAUGAUAUAAACGAGGCCGCAAUUAAUUUAUAGAGGAGUGGGUUACCUAAGAUCUGUGGGCUGGCUUUCUUUCUCGUCAAUGGAGGAUGACAGUCGGCUAGAGUUUGGAAGAAGACAGUGGAACGGCGGUGGCUAUAGGCAGGGAAGGAGGAUGGAGAAAGAGGAGGAGGAUGCAGCUAUGCUCCGAUAGUGGGUUCUCUGGAGACGGAGGCCGGAGAAGGAGGGGGAGGAUGCAACUAUGCUGGUGGAGGACUCUCUGGAGGAGGAGGAGGAUGAAGCUUUGGGGGAUUACUCUCGGGAGGAGGAGAAGAAGAAGAAGGAGGAGGAUGAGUAGGGCUCGUCGAUUUGGGGCUCCGCUCUCUGGGGUUAGGGAUUUGGGGGGCUUUCGAGGAUUUAUAUCCAUCGUCUUGUUCUUGCUCUUGGAUUCCGAUGGUGUUUAAUUGCGCCGUCUAAUACCACCGACACUUCUGUGUUCUGG
rnacentral:lncRNA from 1 species